rnacentral:rRNA from 1 species
GAUGAACGCUAGCGGCAGGCCUAACACAUGCAAGUCGAGGGAGAAGCCUUUCGGGGCAGAAACCGGCGCACGGGUGCGUAACGCGUAUGCAACCUACCUUUCACAGGGGGAUAGCCCGAAGAAAUUUGGAUUAAUACCCCAUAAUAUUGUUGGAUGGCAUCAUCUGAUAAUUAAAACUGCGGUGGUGAAAGAUGGGCAUGCGUCCUAUUAGCUAGUUGGAGUGGUAACGGCACCCCAAGGCUACGAUAGGUAGGGGUCCUGAGAGGGAGAUCCCCCACACUGGUACUGAGACAGGGACCAGACUCCUACGGGAGGCAGCAGUGAGGAAUAUUGAUCAAUGGUCGGAAGACUGAACCAGCCAUGCCGCGUGCAGGAAGAAUGCCUUAUGGGUUGUAAACUGCUUUUAUAUGGGAAGAAUAAGGUGUACGUGUACAUUGAUGACGGUACCAUAUGAAUAAGCAUCGGCUAACUCCGUG